rnacentral:rRNA from 1 species
CGCCAGCCCGCUCAGAAACUACAAAGGAAUUGACGGGGGCCCGCACAAGCGGUGGAGUAUGUGGUUUAAUUCGAUGCAACGCGAAGAACCUUACCUGGUCUUGACAUCCCGGAGACCCUUAGGAAACUAGGGGGUGCUUCCAUCUGGAAGAAUCUGGAGACAGGUGCUGCAUGGCUGUCGUCAGCUCGUGUCGUGAGAUGUUGGGUUAAGUCCCGCAACGAGCGCAACCCUUGCCUUUAGUUGCCAGCAGUUCGGCUGGGCACUCUAAAGGGACUGCCGGUGUUAAACCGGAGGAAGGUGGGGAUGACGUCAAGUCCUCAUGGCCUUUAUGACCAGGGCUACACACGUACUACAAUGGCCGAUACAAAGGGCAGCGACACUGCGAGGUGAAGCCAAUCCCGUAAAAUCGGUCUCAGUCCGGAUUGGAGUCUGCAACUCGACUCCAUGAAGUUGGAAUCGCUAGUAAUCGCGCAUCAGCCAUGGCGCGGUGAAUACGUUCCCGGGCCUU